GGCUGGAUAAUAUAUGUUCAAUAUAGUGGACUGCAGAUCCGAAAAAGUUAGUAGCUUCAGCCU
rnacentral:tRNA from 1 species